rnacentral:rRNA from 1 species
UACGAAGGGGGCUAGCGUUGCUCGGAAUCACUGGGCGUAAAGCGCACGUAGGCGGAUUGCUAAGUCAGGGGUGAAAUCCUGGAGCUCAACUCCAGAACUGCCUUUGAUACUGGCGACCUUGAGUCCGGGAGAGGUGAGUGGAACUGCGAGUGUAGAGGUGAAAUUCGUAGAUAUUCGCAAGAACACCGGUGGCGAAGGCGGUUCUCUGGGCCUUACCUGACGCUGAGGAGCGAAAGCGUGGGGAGCGAACAGG